AGCAGCCGCGGUAAUUCCAGCUCCAAUAGCGUAUAUUAAAGUUGUUGCAGUUAAAAAGCUCGUAGUUGAAUUUCGAGACCGGCUUACUGGUCGUGCUAUUGUACGUACUGGUAUAAUCGGUUUCUCCUUUCUGACGAACUAUAAUGCCAUUAAUUUGGUGUUUUAGGGAAUCAGGACUGUUACUUUGAAAAAAUUAGAGUGUUUAAAGCAGGCUCACGCUUGAAUACAUUAGCAUGGAAUAACGGAAUAGGACGUUUGAUUCUAUUUUGUUGGUUUCUAGGAUCGACGUAAUGAUUAAUAGGGAUAGUUGGGGGCAUUAGUAUUCAAUUGUCAGAGGUGAAAUUCUUGGAUUUAUUGAAGACUAACUACUGCGAAAGCAUUUGCCAAGGANGUUUUCAUUAAUCAAGAACGAAAGUUAGGGGAUCGAAGACGAUCAGAUACCGUCGUAGUCUUAACCAUAAACUAUGCCGACUAGGGAUCGGAUGAUGUUAAUUUUUUAAUGACUCAUUCGGCGCCUUAC
rnacentral:rRNA from 1 species